AUAAUGCACAGCGACACUGACUUAGAAGUCUCCUUCGAAGUGGCCUCCUGUAUGUGCAGUAGUACACCCCAAGCAGAUGGCCUCUCCCUUCACUGAGAUGGAGUGGUACACCAUUCUCUUUUCUUUGAUAGUGUUUAGUCUGUUUACCCUACAUGGUCUAAUACAGGAGAGCUGCAUGCAAACUACAGACAGUGAAGAUAUCAAAGAGGGACUUCAGGAGCCGAUCAAUGUUUGAGACAGCCUGGAUCUUUCAAGACUCAAGACUUUAGAUUUAUGGUGCAGCAUGCAUUACUUGAGAUCAGAUUUUUAAUAAGACUAUUUUGUGAUCAAUGAUUUCUGUGCGACGUGAAUCUAUUAAUUAAGUGUUUUCUGAAGACUGAUUUGGGACAAGCAACAUGGUGGAUCAUUAUACCUUAUGGAUACAAAGAACUCUGCAACACCAUCAUGAGUGGUUCAAUUAUAUGACCUGACCUGCAUGCCGCUACCUUUAUUGGACUGUCAAGCUCAUCACCUGGACUAAAUCCAGCUGCAAAGCCAGGGAUGUGAUUGUGUGUUUGUUAUGGAUCUGCCGUUUUCAGGUUUUGAGUUGGUCUUCAUCUUCAUUGCAUUUACUAUUAUGUGCUUAUUUGGCCUGGUUGCUGUCUACAGAUAUAAUACAGAUUAUCAAGAGCAGAAGACGACGCGAUGAAAGAACUCAAAGAAAAAACAGCGUGCUGUCAUCAAAACCAACCAUGAGCUACCAUGAACACACAAACAUGCUCAUUUUAAUUCAUACCGCCGUUAUCCAGGGGACAAGUUUUGUCUGAAGAUGUCUGUCAAGGGAAAAGAGAUUGAAAAUGGAAAUCUUUCAGUUCAUCCUCAAGACAUAUACGUUUCCCUCUGGGCUUUCCCUGAUUGGCUUGAACUUGUGUGACCCCAAUACAUAAUUAACCAGCAAGAAAGGUAAAGAGGAUUUAUUGAAAGCUAAACUCCUCCCCUUUCCCCAUCUAAAUCAGCUUAAUAUAUAUAAUUUUGUCUGGAGUAUUUAUGUUUUUAAUGAGCUUAGAUUUUGGUGGGAAAAUUGUCUUUCAUACUUAGGAUUUAUACAGCAAAUUCCAAAAAAAUUGCAGCUUCAAUUGAAAUGACCUAGUUAUGGAAAGUCACUGUUAUCAAAAUCUGGCUCUAUUACCACUGUGCCCUGGAUCAAGGCAAUUAACCAUAGUGCUCCAGGAUAGAUAUAUGCAAUUAGUCGGCUGUAAGUCACUUAAGAAGCAUCUGCGCAUUAACUACCAACAUAAUGGAUUAUGGCCAUUGAGUGAUCUUGAAAAUGGCAGUGAAUUCCUUCCACAAUGUAUAUGCACUAAAUCUUAAAUUAUGUGUUGUUAAUAUCCACUGGAUAAUCUGGAGAAGAGAGAUAAAGGAAAACACUCUGGUGAAAAAUAUUAGAUUAUUUUAAAGUUGUAUGGAAAUUGAGGUCAGGCUAUUGUCUGGUAUCAUGACUAUGUGUGCUGUACUGUAUGUUAAUAUCAGGGUAAGGCUUUUGGGGAGCUUCGCAGCAGAUGCAGGACAAUUUCAAGUGCAAGUUCACCAAGUCAAAUUCAGUAUGUGCUCACAGAACAACACAAAUAUUUAAUUCAAAAGUUUAAUUAGAAUCAAUUAAAACAUUUUGCUCAUAUAGUAUCCACAGAGCAUUCCCUAAAAACUGCUAUAUGGCACAAUUUUCUGGUGUUGACACGCUAUAGUGUUAUAGUACAUUGUUACAGUGUUGCAGCUUAGAUUUUCUGGUAACACUUUACAAUAAGUUUGUAUUCAAUAACAUUAGUUAACAUCAACUAACAAUGAAAAAUACUUUUUCAGCACUUUUAUUAAUCUUUGUUAAUUUUCAUUUCAACAUAAAUUAAUACAUUUUAAAAGUUGGAAUAUAUUAACAUUUCUUAAUGCAUUAUAAACUGAACUAACAACUGAACAAUUGUAUUUUUACACAUUUUAUAACAUUAACUUUACUAAUAUUAAUAAAUCCAGUAAACAUAAAUUGGUCAUUGUUAGUUCAUGACACUUAGUGCCCUUUCUAAUGUUAGAAAAUAUAACCUUAUUGUAAAAUGUUACAGAUUUUUGUUCAACAAAUGAAUCAUUAUCGAUUGUUCUACUUUUGUACUCAUGUUCCACUCUUUCAAUUAUAUUGCAUUAUUAUAUUGAGUUUCAUGCAGUUUUAUGACAUUAAGUUAACUUUUUGUGAACUUUUUAAUAACAAUUUAAUUCCUCUGGAUAAACUUGAGACUUUUAUAAUAAAUGUACAGAAUAAAAUUAAAUUUUCGAUUGUAACUUUGGUAAGGGUACUGCAUUCCAGGCACAAGAACAGUUUUUACUCUCAGGCAAUUUUCCACAUGAACAUAGUGCAAUAAUGUAAAUAAAUAUCUCAUUUACAUAUGUAAAUUCACUCAUAUUUAAUUCGAUAACUGUACAUACCCCUACCUUGCACAUACAUUACCACUUGCACAUGUACAUAGUACGUCAUUCUGUUAUGUGUCCUUUUUUUAUUAUGUCUAUUUAUACUCUUACCUUGUUUUAUAUUCUGUGUCUCACUGUAAUGUUCUGUGAGCACUUGCUUCUCCUAUCACCAAAAAAAAAAAAAAAAAAGAAAAAAAAAACAUACUUGUGUAUGUGAGAACACGGUAAUAAAGCGCAUUCUGAUUCUGAUUCUGAUUUGGGGUGCCCUCUACUGGUGAAAAGUGCAAUUAUAUAUCUGAUGUUAUUGUUUUCCAGAUACAGUGGGAUCCAGAAAUCUGAGAUAAGACUGCAUUGUGUAAAUCAGGGGUUUUCAAACUUUUUUAUGCCAAGGACCCACAAAUCCACUUGUGAGGGACCCCCUGUUUUAGAAAAAUUAUUAGAAAAAUAUUACAAUGGUAUAAGGAAAACAUUUACUUUUUAUUAAGUUGACAGUGUGUCAAAAAAACACAGUUUUUUUUCUUUCUAUUAUAGUAAUGUAAAUGUUUAUAAAAAUGUCACUUUCUCUGAAAUUUGCAAAGCACUCCCUAGCAACCACUUGCGGACCCCAGUUUGGAAACCCCUGGUGUAAAUCAUUAUAUAUAUAUAUUCUUUUUUUUAUCUAAACCUUGAAAUAAACAGAAAGUUGAAUAAUUUCAAGAAGUUAUGAUGCCAGAUGAAGAAGACAUAUUUAAUGUUAUGCACCAUUAACACUAAUGCACUAUUUCUAAGUCACUAAGCAAAACAGUGACAUUGAUAUGUAAACUCUUUUGUUUAAAAAGUCAAAUGUCCUUCCAUUGAAGAGCACACAAUAUGCAAUAUCUGGGAUAACAUAGAUCAUCAGAUUUGCACAGACUUGUAGAGUCAAUGCUAUACAAUGACUGUAUAACUAAAUGAGUUCAUGAAAACACUAAUUCUCAAAUCUACUAAUUUUCAAACCUAACGUUUCUAUUCCUUCAUGUAGAAACAUGGUGUGUCUUUAAAAUUCAGUAGCAUUUUUAGAGAGAACUAAUGUGAAGUAUGACCCCCUCUCACCAAUGAGGCAUGUGUGUGUGUGUGUGUGUGUGUGUGUGUGUGUGUGUGUGUGUGUGUGUGUGUGUGUGUGUGUGUGUGUUGUGGAGGGGAGGGGAGUAGCAAUCUAGUUUUGGAGGAGAAAAAAGGUUAUGAGGAAUGCCACUGUUAUCUGCUAUUGCAACAAGCAACAAAGCUACAUGCUGAUAACACUUCCUGUUACAAUGAAUCAGUUAUAUAAAACACACUUGCCAGCAACAUUCUCUCUUUGAACUCAGCAUUGGGCUUAAAAAUACAU